rnacentral:rRNA from 1 species
GGGCAACCUGCCCUCUAGAUGGGGACAACAUCCCGAAAGGGGUGCUAAUACCGAAUGUGACAGCAAUCUCGCAUGAGGAUGCUGUGAAAGAUGGCCUCUAUUUAUAAGCUAUCGCUAGAGGAUGGGCCUGCGUCUGAUUAGCUAGUUGGUGGGGUAACGGCCUACCAAGGCGAUGAUCAGUAGCCGGUCUGAGAGGAUGAACGGCCACAUUGGGACUGAGACACGGCCCAGACUCCUACGGGAGGCAGCAGUGGGGAAUCUUCCGCAAUGGGCGAAAGCCUGACGGAGCAAUGCCGCGUGAGUGAUGAAGGAAUUCGUUCCGUAAAGCUCUUUUGUUUAUGACGAAUGUGCAGGUUGUGAAUAAUGACUUGUAAUGACGGUAGUAAACGAAUAAGCCACGGCUAACUACGUGCCAGCAGCCGCGGUAAUACGUAGGUGGCGAGCGUUGUCCGGAAUUAUUGGGCGUAAAGAGCAUGUAGGCGGUUUUUUAAGUCUGGAGUGAAAAUGCGGGGCUCAACCCCGUAUGGCUCUGGAUACUGGAAGACUUGAGUGCAGGAGAGGAAAGGGGAAUUCCCAGUGUAGCGGUGAAA